CACGUAGGGUGCGAGCGUUGUCCGGAUUUAUUGGGCGUAAAGAGCGUGUAGGCGGCCAUACAGGUCAGCUGUGAAAACUCGAGGCUCAACCUCGAGACGUCGGUUGAAACCGUAUGGCUAGAGUCCGGAAGAGGAGAGUGGAAUUCCCGGUGUAGCGGUGAAAUGCGCAGAUAUCGGGAAGAACACCCGUGGCGAAGGCGGCUCUCUGGGACGGUGCUGACGCUGAGACGCGAAAGCGUGGGGAGCGAACAGG
rnacentral:rRNA from 1 species